UACGGGGGGGGCAAGCGUUGUUCGGAAUUACUGGGCGUAAAGGGCUCGUAGGCGGCCAACUAAGUCAGACGUGAAAUCCCUCGGCUUAACCGGGGAACUGCGUCUGAUACUGGAUGGCUUGAGUUUGGGAGAGGGAUGCGGAAUUCCAGGUGUAGCGGUGAAAUGCGUAGAUAUCUGGAGGAACACCGGUGGCGAAGGCGAGGUGCUGGGUCCUUUCUGACGCUGAUGCGCGAAAGCCAGGGGAGCAAACGGGG
rnacentral:rRNA from 1 species